rnacentral:lncRNA from 1 species
CUCCAGUCUAUAGCCUCACGUAUAUAAUUCUCUUUUUGACUUAAGUAUCGGAGGGACGACGAGAACAUACUUCGUUGCCUUUGUUUCAGGUACUGGAAGACUACGAUCGUACUCAAUCCAAAUCAUCAAGCUCAAGAAAUCUGCAGGUACGAUUUUUGGUAGCAUCAAUAUUCAAUCAUACAUUUUAUAAAAUUUUAUCAAAAUAUGUUAAAACUUUUAUAAAAAAUCUUUGUCGCACAGCCCCAAUUUGAGUCCAAAUAAGAAGUUAGAGAUUAGAUAUAUAGAAUACAGGACACCUCACAUCACUAUUCACGAACAACUUGGGUGAUGAGAGCAGUCUGGAGGUUGUCAUUCAAAAGAAGACUAACUUCAUCCUCCAGGUCAACAAGGAUUGGGACCGGACUACCAAUGAAGUCCCGCCACUUGUUGAUGUGCAUACCACUUGCACCGAAACUUUCCUUUCUCAUGCCAAGGGUUUGCCAAGCCUAGAAACCUGGACGUUAGAGGUCACCGUCUUUUGGCAUUUCUUUCACUUCUUGGACCAAGGCUUGAGCAUGGGCUUGGGUUGCACGAGCAAUUGCCAUAGCCUUCCUCUUCAGUGAUAGUUCUGCAUCUCUACAUGAAAGAAAGAAGAAGCCUUCAGGCCAACCUCCGAAAUAAUAGAUAGACAAAAUUUAAGAGAGAGAGACGACCCCAUCAUAGUCUAACCUUGUGACCCCAAGCACAUCAUCUUCUAAAAGGUCAUAUAUGUCAAGGACGAAGCAAAUGAGCAAGUAUUCGUAACUCUUCAUGUAAGGAUUGUGCUUAAACUCGGGCACAUUCCCUACAAAGGUCAAUGGAAGGCCUAAGAGACUGAUAACAACAUGUUCAGAAGAAGUACUUCAACAACCUCUACUCCUUUAGAGCCAAUUGGACUUCUUUUUAACAAUGUUAACAUUAAAAGAUGGAACUCUAAGUAUUAAUAUUGAUUAGGCCUAAAAAGAAUAACUUGGUCCAUCUAAAACUCGAACAUGUAUUUAGAUUUCAAGAUAGGUGAGCUUAAAAUUAUCAUCCUUGUUGGGAUAUUUUAAGGAUAUCCCAUGUUGAAGAAAUACAAAAAAUGUUAAUGAAUAUAUAAGGGUCUAAAUUAGUCCUUUUAAUAAAAUUGAUCUUUUAAGUUCAAAUUUUGAUUAUUUUAAGUUACGCAUUUUCUUAGUUAGUACUUACUCAAAUCAAGGUUUUGUGCACUCUCAUUACUUAGAUGACUUGCAAGUGUUCUCAUGUGCCCUACAAUUUUAGUUUCAUGAAAAAGCAAAUCAACAAGAUAUGGGUUCUGUUACGCCUCUUGUCGGAGGCUCUUACUAAAGGCCAUGUCUAUGUCAUGUGGAGGUGCUACAUAUGAACAGCUAGCAGUCAACAAGAUCAAAAUGAAGAAAAGAACAAGCUGCUCUUUGGUCGAAGUACUGUCCUCGUUUGAAGCACUCUCGCUUGUGAUCGAGCCGCAACAAAUUUGAAGCUCUCUCUCUCUCUCAAAGUUGCAGGAAUUGCUACCUUUGAAACGGAUCUGCAGAGUAUUUGUAUGAUUGAUUGAUGUAAUGUUUGUAUUAAUUAAUGUCAAGAAUGUCAGCUUAGAGAUGGGGUGGUGGCCCAUUGUCAAUAUAUUUAAUGUUAGACAGGAUGAUGUGAUGUUUUGGGUAACGAGAUAAGGUCACGUGAUUCUGAUCCAAUGGUUACAACGUUAGUUGUAGAGUUAUAAAUAAUAACUCUUGUAACAUUUUGAAGGGGAGAAAAGAAGACACAACUUAUGUGCAAGAAUUCUCAUGAAAACUGCUUUGAUUUUCCCAUUUUAUUUGUUUAGGUUUGAG